GCUUGCUGCUUGGCUGACGAGUGGCGGACGGGUGAGUAAUGUCUGGGAAACUGCCUGAUGGAGGGGGAUAACUACUGGAAACGGUAGCUAAUACCGCAUAAUGUCGCAAGACCAAAGAGGGGGACCUUCGGGCCUCUUGCCAUCGGAUGUGCCCAGAUGGGAUUAGCUAGUUGGUGGGGUAACGGCUCACCUAGGCGACGAUCCCUAGCUGGUCUGAGAGGAUGACCAGCCACACUGGAACUGAGACACGGUCCAGACUCCUACGGGAGGCAGCAGUGGGGAAUAUUGCACAAUGGGCGCAAGCCUGAUGCAGCCAUGCCGCGUGUAUGAAGAAGGCCUUCGGGUUGUAAAGUACUUUCAGCGGGGAGGAAGGGAGUAAAGUUAAUACCUUUGCUCAUUGACGUUACCCGCAGAAGAAGCACCGGCUAACUCCGUGCCAGCAGCCGCGGUAAUACGGAGGGUGCAAGCGUUAAUCGGAAUUACUGGGCGUAAAGCGCACGCAGGCGGUUUGUUAAGUCAGAUGUGAAAUCCCCGGGCUCAACCUGGGAACUGCAUCUGAUACUGGCAAGCUUGAGUCUCGUAGAGGGGGGUAGAAUUCCAGGUGUAGCGGUGAAAUGCGUAGAGAUCUGGAGGAAUA
rnacentral:rRNA from 1 species